UAGUGUGUCCCACGUGGUUUAGGAUACCUGGCUCUCACCCAGGAGGCCCUGGUUCGAUUCCCGGCGUGGGAA